rnacentral:rRNA from 1 species
GAUGAACGCUAGCUACAGGCUUAGCACAUGCAAGUCGAGGGGCAGCAUGGUCUUAGCUUGCUAAGACUGAUGGCGACCGGCGCACGGGUGAGUAACACGUAUCCAACCUGCCGUCUACUCUUGGACAGCCUUCUGAAAGGAAGAUUAAUACAAGAUGGCAUCAUGAGUCCGCAUGUUCACAUGAUUAAAGGUAUACCGGUAGACGAUGGGGAUGCGUUCCAUUAGAUAGUAGGCGGGGUAACGGCCCACCUAGUCUUCGAUGGAUAGGGGUUCUGAGAGGAAGGUCCCCCACAUUGGAACUGAGACACGGUCCAAACUCCUACGGGAGGCAGCAGUGAGGAAUAUUGGUCAAUGGGCGAGAGCCUGAACCAGCCAAGUAGCGUGAAGGAUGACUGCCCUAUGGGUUGUAAACUUCUUUUAUAAAGGAAUAAAGUCGGGUAUGGAUACCCGUUUGCAUGCACUUUAUGAAUAAGGAUACGGCUAACUCCG